UCAUUUCAUUUCAAAUUUCAAAAAACAACUUCCCUUCGCAGCUUCUCUCUCAUUUCUAAAUUUCUUCAUCUUUCUUCUCAACGGCAACUAUCUCCCUCCUCUUCCCCCUCUCUCCGCCUCCCCUUCUCUCUCGAUCUCUUGUCUCCUUCGUCUUCCUCAGAAUCUUCACUCUUCCUUUCUCUCAAUUUCUAUUCUCUAAAAUGAAGCAUCCACCCAAGAAACCCUAUCUUGCUAAAUACCCAUCUCGCCGAUCCACUGCCAUUUUCUAUUCCAUGCGCUAACGGCGCCGGAAUCAAGGGCGGAAGACCCCUCGGAAGCCUAUGUCGUCUUCCAAAGAAAAUGCUUCACCGUCAGAUCCCAAAUUCCCAACUCCAUGGUUCCCGAUUCCAAACCCUCGCCGACUAAGUUGAAGAGCCUGCUCCAUCUUCUAACCCACUUAAGCGGAAGCUCAGUAUGGAGACCGUUCCUGAGAAUUCCAUCCCUGGGUUGUCUGAUUCUGUUGUUAAGUCGAUUAUGGUGGCUCACUUUGGAAACUUGUUACAUAGCUACUGCCAAAAGCUUUAAAUUGCCUUCCGGAUGCACCUCAAAAUCAGCUUCAUUCUUUGUGUUUUCUAAUUUCUAGCUCACUCAAUUCAGCCAUGGAUGUACGGAGAUAUUCCAAAUUUUAUAAUGCAAAACCUGAUGAAGCCGAUGAUGGUGUUUGCACAAGAGCUUGGAGAUUCUUUUUAUCUUACUUCACAAUUGACGUUCUUUCAGUUCUUCCACUCCCCCAGCCAUGCAGGGUUUACAGAAAGAUUUGAACUUUUCAUUUGUGGUCGUGAGCUGGCCAAUGCAUUUUUCGAAUUGAUCGAUCGUAUUUAUCAGGUAAGAGGUGAUUAUAUCAAUCAUUAAUGUUAGAAGGGUGCACAGAUGAUGAAACUUUUUAGCCAAUUUCAUGGCAUUUGAAAGAGAGAAAGUACAUUAGUAUUGAACUCAAGUUAAACUGGAUAGUCUAUCACCUUUUGGAAGAUAACUUUCCUGUACUUUGUUCCAUCUUGUAUAGACCCUUUCAGUCGAAAGGUUACCAAAGGAAUCGUUUUUGUUAUGUGUUAUGUGCUUAACUCCAUAACAAUGUGCGUCCAAGCUCUACAUGAGCAUUCUAUUCUUCUUGCUUGGUAUACUUGUGCAUUAUUGGUUUAUGUGCCAUGUCAAGAAAUAAUAGUUUCUAUUGGAACGUUUUAGUGUUCCGGUUCCAUGAUAAUUGGAAUGGUUGUAAUGAUCUUUUUCUUUUAAAACAAACAAAAUUGGCACAGAGGAUGAUUAGAAGACCAGAUCAGGCAACACAAUGAGAAGCAUGGCUCAGCUGUUUCUUAUGUAUCUCGUUUCUUAUGUAAUGACUCUUUGGACUUCAAUUGCCAAAAAGAUGAGGAUGAUUCUUAUGAAGUGACACUUGAUGAUGAUUUUCUUACUGCUUUGGAAUAUGGAAUGCCACCAGCUUCUGGACUGAUGUAGGCUGGAAAAGGAGGUGAGCUAACAUUGAAUAGAAGAACCAUAACAAGAGGGGCACUGGAUUCAUUGAGAAAUGGGCGAGAGAUUCCAUGGCUCCCAUUUCUUUAACUUUUGCAAUCGAUAGUAAUGUCGAUCUUGACAGGAAUGUUGGAAUGAAGAUUUAGGAAUUAAUUCCUCUUUCUUAGAAGAAUCUAAAUCUAUACAAAGGUCUUCUUUUUUGUUUCCAAUCAUCUGAGGUAAUCUUGUAGGUUCUUUAAUUCUUGGUGGAAAUUCUAGACUACCUGAGGUAAUUUUUGCUUUCUUAAUAGUUUUUGUUGCAUGUUUUCAUGCCAUUCUUGAAAAUCUUGAGGUUGUUCUUGAUUGUUCCCAUGUUUGGUUUAGGUUUGUUUUGAACACCUUUUAGGUUUGUUUGAGACUCAAUUUGUUGCAUCUACACACUUAAUUGCUAUUUUGGGACUUGAAGUGCUUUUUUUACAAUGUUUGAAUUUUUUUGGUAAGUUAUGACUUACGAAAUUAUACUUGAGCAUUGUUAGGCUAUUUUUUAAGUUCGAAUGGUACUUAGACAUGUUGGUAGGUUAUGAGUUAUGAGUUACGAAAUUAUAUUUGUUGGGUCAUUUUGAUAGUUCAAGUGAUACUUAGACACGAUUUGAACAAAUUUUAGGUUUGUUUGAGACUCAGUUUGUUGCAUCCACACACUUAAUUGCCAUUUUGGGUCUUGAAGUGCUUUUUUUACAAUGUUUGAAUUUUCUUGGUAGGUUAUGAGUUACGAAAUUAUACUUGAGCAUUGUUAGGCCAUUUUUUAAGUUCGAAUGGUACUUAGACAUGUUUUGAACAGGUGUUAGGUUGUUUCGAACUAAGUUUGUUGCACAUACAGACAUGAUUGCCAUCGAAGGGCUUUUUCCACACUUUUUUGAACUUUUUGGCAAGUUAUGAGUUACAAGCUUUUGCACUUAAGCGUCAUUGGGUCGUUUGAAAGCUAAGACGUGUUUCGAAUGCCUUUUUGGUCGGUUUGAAUCUAAGUUUGUUGCACUUACACACUUGGCAUUCUAGGUCUUGAAGUGCUUUUUUUCAAUCUUUUUUGAACUUUUUGGUACGUUGUGAGUUACGAACUUACAGUUAAGAUUUGUUAGAUCGUUUUGAAAGUUCAAGUGAUACUUGGACAUGUUUUGAAUGCGUUUUAGGUUGGUUUGACACUAAGUUUGUUGCACUCACACACACGGUUGCCACUUUGGGUCUUAAAGUGCUUUUUUCACACUUUUUGAACUUUCCGCUAGGUUGUGAGCUAUGAACUUACACUUAAGAUGUCUUAGGUGGUUUUUUAAGGUCCAAGUGAUACGUAGACAUGUUUUCAACACCUUUUAGGUUUGUUUUAAACUUAGUUUGUUGAACUUACGCACUUUGUUGCCAUUUUGGGUCUUGAAAGGCUCUUUUCUCACUUUUUUUUAACUUUUUGCUAGGUUAUGAGUAACGAACUUACACUUAAGCUUUGUUAGAUCGUUUCUAAAAUUCAAGUGAUAAUUAGACUCGUUUUGAACACUUUUAAGGUUGGUUUGAGGGUAAGUUUGUUGUACUUACACAUUUGGUUGCCAUUUCUUUUGUGGUCUUUGAAGUGCUUUUUUCACAGUUCUUGACUUUUUGGUACGUUGGGAGUUGUAAACUUACACUUAAACUUUGUGAGGUUGCUUUUAAGGGUCAAGUGAUACGUAGGCUCGGUUGGAACACUUUUUAAGUUUGUUUGAGACUAAGUCUGUUGCACUUACAUGCUUGGUCGGGUUGUGCCAUUUUAGGUCCUCGGUGCUUUUUUCACUCUUUUUUGAACUUUUUAGUCGGUUAUGAGUUGCGAAUUUACACUCAAGCAAUGUUCAGAGGUUUUAAACUCUUUUUAUUUUGGUUUGGAACUAAGUUUGUUGAACUUGCACACUUGGCUGACAUGUUGGGUGUUAGAGUGCUUUUAUCGCACUUUUUGGAAUUUUGGUCGGUUGUGAUUUGCGAACUUAUACUUAAGCAUUGUUCGAUCGUUUUGAAAGCUUACACACGUUUUGAACUCUUUUUAGGUUGGUCUGAAACAAAGUUUGUGGCACUAACACACUUGGUUGCCAUUUUCGGUCUUGAAGUGCUUUUUCCACACUUUUUGAAUUUUUUGGUAGGUUAUGGUUUACGAAAUUACACUUAAGUUUUGUUGGGUCAUUUUGAUAGUUCAAGUGAUACUUA